GUCAAAGUAGGUCCGACCUUGGCCCAGUUUAAAGAGUUUGCCCAGGCUUUUGACCCUGCUCUACGGGGACUGACUCUCAGCAACUCGGACACUAUUCGUGAGGUACACAACAGUUUCUCAAGACAGCAGAUGUUUGAGUUUGAUGAGAAGGCGGCCAAAAAGGAUGACGAUGUGUUCCACUUUGUGAGUUAUCUCCCCAUUGAUGGGCGGCUGUACGAAUUGGACGGACUCAAAGAGGGACCAGUAGACUUAGGUGCCAUUCCUUCAGACACAGAUUGGCUGGAUGUGGUCAGGCCUGUAUUGGAGAAAAGGAUGCAAAAAUACAGCACAGAUGAAAUUCACUUUAACCUGAUGGCUAUAGUGUCUGAUAGGAAAGCCAUGUACCAGAAGAGGCUGCAAGAGCUACAAUCGCGGGGUAUGGAGGUCGAGGAGGACCAGCUGGAGAUGAGUCAGCUGAUGGUCAAAAUCCAGGAGGAGGAUGCUAAGAUGAAGAGAUACAAGGUUGAAAAUGUGAGAAGGAAACACAAUUACCUCCCUUUUAUUAUGGAACUUCUGAAGAUAUUAGCAGAACAGAAGCAGUUACUGCCCUUAGUAGAAAAGGCAAAAGAAAAAGCAGCUAAAAAGAAGUCAGAGGAAGUAAAAUAGAAGACUAGGAUUCCUGUUGUCACUAUAGGACUGCACUGCCUAAACAUUGAAACAUUUCACUCCUUUCAUUUUCACCUCACACAGAAUCAUCCAUGCGUUGUGAGUGGUCACCCAAGUUCAAAGCUUUCAGCAAACAUUUUCUAUUUGUUUUCUGGGAAAAGUUUGUACCCUCAGAGGAUGUCAUCUGAAGGCACACCCCUCUCAGAUAUCUGAAGAGUACUUGUACAUUUGCAAUGUCAUGGGCUGUAAUACAUUAUGUGUUCUCGACCAGUCAAUGUGGUUCAAAUUCUCACAAUAAUCUUAACACUUAGCAGUAACAAAUGUUCUUUACUCAAUGUACAUGCAUAGCAAGCUCAUUUUCUGAAUGAUAUUGAAUAUAUUAGAGGUUAAGUCAAUCAAUUGAUUCAUUAUUUAUACACUUUAGUUGUCAUUGUUAUAGUUUAAGCAAUCAGAUUCUUAUUAUUCUUGUCUUUUUUUCCUCUGUAAUUUUUUUUAUUUUUGACUUUGUUAUACAUUCUUGUUGAUUAUACAUUUGUACAAUGCCAAUAUACAAGUAACACCUGUAAUUGACCAGUAGUGCUUUGUUCCACGCAGAUGUAAGUAGAGUUUGUUAUUGUUGUUGUAAUUUUGUAAAAAUACAAACAAACAAAUAAGUAUGCUUUGUGUGUGUAUAUUUUGAAAUUGAAAUUUUAAAAUAUAGGUGAGACUGUG
rnacentral:misc_RNA from 1 species